rnacentral:lncRNA from 1 species
AUAUUUGAAAUUAAAAUACAUUCCUCCAUUUUCCAAACUUCAGUAUCCUAUUUCCUUCCUUUUCACAGGUGACAAACUAGGGGAAUGAUCUAGUGCAACAUGAAAGAAUUGAGUUAGUAGAUAUAUGGCUUACUUUACUGAAUGGAGACUCAUAUUGAGAUAAUGAGCAUUAAACUGUAGGAUUCCAAAGAGAAAUUCCAAUUUCAAGACACCUCAAAUUUGUAUGGUACUACCAUCUGUCGUAUAUCCCUCCAUCUGCAUAUGGAUUUUUUGUCCCCCUGUAUUUGAUCUUCAAUUGUUUAAAUAACUUUAUUUGAGCAUAGUGAACUGUAGAUAAAAUGCAUGGCGCGUCAUAUGAUUGAAAGAAACAACAUAAUGAAGUGUGCAGGAGAAGUCUAAGCCUGUUUUGUCCAUACUUAUCUACUUGAGCAAUGAUGUGGAAAGUUAUGUUCAUUCUUUUAUUUUUUCUCAUCUAGGACUGUUUUCGGAGAGAUAGUCAUUUAUUUAUGAAAAGUUGCCAUUCUUUCAGUUUGUCGAGCAAAUUAUCUUCCUUAGAUUCCCUUAUCGUUAAUGCUGUGUCCAUGCUUGAUUUUUGUCUUAGCAAUUUGAGAAAUAUUUACAAGGGCAGAACUAUUAAAAAUUCGUGUUUAUACUUAAUAGACACUAUCUAAAAUGAAGCAUGUUAGAAUAUCUAAUGCUCUGUAGUGAACUACCAUAAAGUUGAGGCAGCUGCAGGAAGACUGACCCAGUUAUCAGUCAACAAGUGAAACUGGCAUAACCAGCUUACAACUAGCACUUGGUUGUUCUUAUGAUGGAACUGGUUGUUCAGGUUUGAUCUUAUUUCGUGCAUGUAAACUGCCCUUCAAAUUCAUGUAACUCUGUACUUGGAGUUAGAGGUCCAAUCUGAAAUAAGCUAUGCAUUAAUCUCACAUUUUGGAGCAUCUG